GUAUAAAAGGAAACAAAGAAGCUAGAAAAUCACAUCCUAUAGGGCAAGUAUCUGCAAAUACUGACCGUGAACAUUGCGUUUGAAUUUUCACCAUGGCAUCCGAGAUCCAAUAUGCUCAUGAUUCCAAUCUGUCAUGGCGCGAGGCCCGUCAGGCUUUGGAGAAGUACGCGAAUCAUACAAAGAACACACAAAUGAGCAAAACACUAAGUAUCAAGAAGGCAGAAGGCUCUGGAGGUAGAUCGAGUACUACAGCAUUGACAGCCAUAGCGUACGUGGCACCUAUCAGCCGCGGCCGCAAUGACAUCGAAACAAGCGCUAAGUCCAUGAAGACUGAUCACAGCAAACAUUACGGAAACCUGAUGCUGAUUAUCGUGCCAGACCCUAGCAACUCUACAAAGCCAAGUACAUCAAGACGACCAGACGCUACAUCUACACUGCCAAGUACAUCAAGUUACACCAAUGCAGGAUAUCUUGUUCUUUCGGAUCCACAAAAGUCAGAUCACCUGAAGGCAUUUGCUGAGAACGUCGGACACCAAGUGCCAGAAGUGAAAAAAGUGGAAAAAUCAUGGUGGUGGUGUACGAUAUUAUAGGUGUACACAAUGUCAUAGAUCGAUGAUGAUGGUGGUGCGGUAGUGCUGGUUCCUGGCUUCAGCGGGGGUAGCCCCUCAUAUGCUGACACCACUCUUGGUGGGAUUACACGUAUUCUCAAGUCUGUAUUUGUGCAUAGCCUGAUUUAGCAGCAUUCUUAGACAUUUCAACCAUAAUGCAGAAUUUCGUUCAUUUUCAUUUCUUUAUAACUUUAUCAGAGUGUCACCGUUUCAUUUCCCCAGACUGGUGACCCCUGUUCAUUUCCCCAGACUGAUGAGCCCUUUUCAUUUCCCCAGACUGGUGACCCCUUUUCAUUUCCCCAGACUGGUGACCCCUUUUCAUUUCCCCAGACUGGUGACCCCUUUUCAUUUCCCCAGACUGGUGACCCCUUUUCAUUCCCCCAGACUAAUGACCCCUUUUCAUUUCCCCAGACUGAUUUAGCAUGAUCAUUAUACAUACAACCUCAGUGGAAAUGGUGCACACCCUUCUCGUACAUAAAGCGGUAAUGAGAAUAUGUACUGCCUGGUGGGAGCCUAUGUCAUUCUAAAUAUUGAUGGUCUUACCACCUGCUGAUCGGCAGUGCCAAAAUAUGUGUCGUGGUAAAACAUCACCAGUGGUUUUAGCCUAGCACUUUGCCUCGUUUCCUCUGAUUAAUGAAUAUUCCUCUAAUCGAUGAGUCAUUUCAUACUUUGCGUUUGGGACAUAUAUCACUAAGUCCCUCUUCAGUUGGUGGCAUUGCAAUUCGGCCCCAGCCUGACCAAUGGUUUUGGCUGAAAGAAGACUGGGGAAUCCCCCUUUUAAAGAAACCUGCAGGCCCAGCCAACUCCUGGGGGGAGGGGGGGGGGUACCGUCCCAGGUCGGCUACAUAACUGAUCAUUUCCCAUGCCCACGUAAAGAGUCAUAUCUCGCUGUAUGAGAAAACAUGAUAUUAUUGGAUUGUUUCAGCUACAUAUUGCAAUAGCGACAGUUAUACAAUUAGCACAGCAUCCCUCGCUGGGCAAAAAGAACAGUUCAGGAGGAAGAGACUCUAGCUAGGAUAGGCUAAUAGGGCCUCCUACAUAAUUAAAUCUAUCAUACAUUCCACGAAAGCUGAAGUUGGAGAAAUACUGGUCCUGCCACUUGUUCACCAGCUGUGCCAAAGCCGCCGGCCGUGGCAGAUAAGACCCGGUGGCCACCACAAUGCGCAUUAGUCAUGUAGCUGAUCCUGUGACCAUGGGUCCAUGAUGUAACACUUUGGGAUCUUCAACCAAAAAUACGCAGCUACUCCCAAGGGCUGUUGUGCAUCAGGCACUGAGUGCAUUUUAGCCGGUGAUCAAUGUUUGACACAAAACCAGUCCAGUGGUGGAUGCAUGUGUUACGAAAACCCGCCAUGGCAUAGGCGCAUGCCUGCUAACAUCCCCUUUCUCCUCCCCUCCCUCAUGGUUUUACUGCAUUAUGGCGCGCUUUGUCUGCAUAGACGAUGAGAACCUUAUGGUCGGCAGAGCAUCCUGGCCACGCCACCACUUCUGGCACAUAUUCGGUAAUACAGUGGACUUCUGUGUAAAAAAAAUUAAAAAAUAGCUCUCUUCACAGAUCUGACAAUCCGGGUAGUUUCCCCUUACCACUGAUCGGCCACAACUUCGAGGAUUAGUAUCAAACCUGACUCGAGAAGGGAUGUAAACGCUGACAGCAAUGCAUGUAAAUUGCAGUAGUCUGAAGAAGAAUGCUCACCGAUCAGUCAAAGCAGCCGAUGCAGGGUUUGGAAACACGUCACAUGAAUGAAGAGAGCCCAGUAGCUGCCUCUAUGCAGCACCUGUGGCAAUCAUUCAACUGUCCUGUUUGACGUAUGAACAGAAAGGGGAAAAGAGUGGUUUUACCCCAACUAAGCUGCUCCAACAAUACCUGAUUUCUAUCCAGCAUAAGUCUAGCAUGGGUAAUGCGAUCACAAUGCUGUCGGUAAAAAGUGACUCACGUACCAUCUGCCCACCUGACUACCGUACAUGUAUGUAUAACUAUUUACUAUCUAGGCUUUUCAGCGCCGGGCAAAGUAAGCAUGGGGCAUACGACAUGCUGGCUUGGGCCAAUCUGGCAAUCGCCAUGAAGUCAGAGCGUGAUCAUCACAAUGACGGUGUGGCUAUCUGGUUCUGUUGCAAUUGCUUACCUGUCAUUGUCGUCAUAUAGGGUGCUGCUAGACAUGUUUGCCCCAGGGCUCAGACUAUCACUGCAUUCCACGCCAAAAGAACAUCAGCGAAGGACGGCGAACAUGGCUUGAGGAGUUACAGAAUGCCAGACCGGUGGCCUGAAAACAGCGGGAAAACGAGAGCAUGACAAACCCUUACAGGCAGAGAACAUGGACACAUCAAGACACGAGCGGUAAAAACACCGACUUUCAAGUAGCAGUUAGUUGUGCUACGUAAUGCACUAUUUUCAUAGCCAUCGUCACCGGACAUGAUUUCGUGUGCUGUGGCCCAUCCAUUGGGCAGCAACGAAGGGACAGCACCGACUUUCCGCAACCACUUCACGGCACCACGGGUAUAAAAGGAAGCAAAGAAGCUAGAAAAUCACAUCCUAUAGUGCAAGUAUCUGCAAAUACUGAACGUGAACAUCGCGUUUGAAUUUUCACCAUGGCAUCCGAGAUCCAAUAUGCUCAUGAUUCCAGUAUGACAGGGCGGGAGGCCCAUACGGCUUUGAAGGAGUACGCGGAUGAUACAAAGAACACCCAAAUGAGCAAAACACUAAGUAUCAAGAAGGCAAGAGGCUCUGGAGAUACAUCGAGUACUACAGCAUUGACAGCCAUGGCGUAUGUGGCACCUAGCAGCCGCGGCCGCAAUGACAUCGAAACAAGCGCUGAGUCCGUGAAGACUGAUCACAGCAAACAUUACGGCAAGCCAAUGCUGGUCAUUGUGCCCGAUACAACUAAUGCCAGUGAUGGUGCAGGCAGCGGUCCACCGAAGCCAUCAAGCUACAAGGCUGCCGGCUACGAAGUCUUCACGGAUUCGACAAAAACAUCUCAGCAGAAGAAGUUUGCAAAAAACGUCGGACACCAGAAGUAAACCACCAAUCGUGACCACACUGGAGCGAAGAUUACUGUAUUACUAGUACUUCUUAUUUACCAUGUUUACCUUGCUCCAUCAGUGCAUGUUCCCUGCAGCAGAAUAGAGAGCAAGCGAGAAGACAUACUGAAAUUCCCUCUUACAUCUUGCUAAUUUCCCUAGUAGUCUACUAUUAUUUUUAGUUUUUUGAGACUCGCGGCACUGUGCGAGUAACACGCGACCUUUGCACCAUGUGUGCAUAGUUUAUCCCACCGUGUAGUUUUCACUUACUUUUGUCUUUGUUGCAGAGCGCCGCAUGCAUGCUCAGUCUAGCCCGCAUCAUUCACGCCCUGCAUUCUCUGUAGCCCUGUGCCUGUGGCCUUGUACUAAGUCGUGUAGCGCCAGCCUAGCGCCUGUACCCAGGCUGUGUACUGUUGAGUAGGAGUUUUGCAGUACGCCCGAUGUCCCGAUGUAAUUCUGGAUUUGUGGUGUUACAGCCAUAAUCCGAUGUAUCCGCUUUUGAAUUUUUUAUUCUCACUAUGGCACCAUUGCCAGUACGUUGUCUGUACUAUUGCAAUUUUCCUCUUUCUUGAUAAACGAUUUGCACUUCGGAACGUUUGAUAUUGAGUGCCGUCAUAAGCUCACUAGGUGCUGAUUCCGUCUCGCUCCUCAUUGUCGGAGUCCUCAACGUUUGCUGCAUUCUACAUUCUGCCUUUUCUCUGCUUCUUCUUGUUUUUCCAUGUAUUGCAAUAAAAAACAUUGCUUUGUCA